rnacentral:rRNA from 1 species
AACGAACGCUGGCGGCAUGCCUAACACAUGCAAGUCGAACGAGACCUUCGGGUCUAGUGGCGCACGGGUGCGUAACGCGUGGGAAGCUGCACUUAGGUUAGGAAUAACUCCCCGUAGGGGGUGCUAAGACCGGAUAACGUCUUCGGACCAAAGAUUCCUGGUGUUUGGAUGGGGGCGGGUUGGAUUAGCGAGUGGGUAGGGGAACAGCCUACCUAGGCGACGAUCCAUAGCUGGGGUGAGCGCAUGAUCAGCCACGCUGGGACUGAGACACGGCCCAGACUCCUACGGGAGGCAGCAGUGGGGAAUAUUGUACGAUGGGCGAAAGCCUGAUCCAGCAAUGCCGCGUGAGUGAGGAAGGCGUUAGGGUUGUAAAGCUCUUUUACCCGGGAUGAUAAUGACAGUACCGGGAGAAUAAGCUCCGGCUAACUCCGUG